rnacentral:rRNA from 1 species
CACGUAGUUAGCCGGCGCUUCUUAUCCAGCUACCGUCAACCCACCCACAAAAGGGGCAGGCCUGCUUCACUGGCGAAAGAGGUUCACAACCCGAAGGCCUCCAUCCCUCACGCGGCGUCGCUGCAUCAGGCUUGCGCCCAUUGUGCAGUAUUCCCCACUGCUGCCUCCCGUAGGAGUCUGGGCCGUGUCUCAGUCCCAGUGUGACCGUCCACCCUCUCAGGCCGGCUACCCCGUCACCGCCUUGGUAGGCCAUCACCCCACCAACAAGCUGAUAGGCCGCGAGCCCAUCCCCCACCAAAAACACCCAAAGGCGCAAUCUUUCCCAGGCCCACCAUGCGACAGACCCAGAAUAUCCCGUAUUAGCCACACUUCAUGCGGUUAUCCAGAAGAGGGGCAGGUUACUCACGUGUUACUCACCCGUUCGCCACUCAUCCAGGACCCACAAAGCACGGCCCCUUCACCGUUCGACUUGCAUGUGUUAAGCACGCCGCCAGCGUCGUCCGUGCGACCG